ensembl:lncRNA
GGGGCGAGCCCCUCGGCGGCCGGGCCGGAAAGAAAUACAGAUGCAAAAGCAAGACCUGGAUAAAUGAGACAAGUAUUGUUCCUUCAAGCAGAAUGUCCUGACUUCAAGACAGAUCCCAGACAGGUGAGCAAUGCCCCGCUGCAGCCGCUGGCAAUGGGUGGCCACUCACAAGAGGUGGGAUGGUUCCAUUCACACAUCAAGGCUCAAUCCAAGCCCCGCUGGAGGUUUUUCAUCUCCCCCAGUGAAGUCCAGCUCAAGCACCUGGCCGACACAGAGCUCGGCUGACACGACAGGUGGAACCCUUCCAAAGUUUUGUUUUUAUAAGUCGCCGAAUUUACUCAGUAGCUCCUGUUUGUGGAAAGAAAUGUUGAAGUGUUAUUAAUUGCACUUAUCAAAUCAAGAAAAACUACAGCCACUGAGUUCUCAUGAAGGAAAAUGCUGUGAGCUCUGUGUGCACGCGUGCAGACACACACGGACGUCUGCAGGGGCAAGGUCACCGACCGCUGAGCCGCGGGCUGUGUGCAGAAGAGUGAAAACAACCCACAGACAAAUGUGCCAUUGUAAAUCUUGUCUCUUAUAGAAUACACGCCAUCAUCCCUUCGGCAAGCAGGAGGACGGGGUUCCCACGUUAGCAGCAGCAGCAGUUGGGAUUCCUAGAAAGACGCAGUGCCUUCGGGUGCCCAACCCAUCCCCGCGCCCUGCUGGGAUGCACGGCCAUUGCGGUGUGCAGGGAGAGUGAUCCCAAAACACAUCCAGCGCCACACCAACCUGCGAAUGGCGGUGGCACAUCUUCAAACCUCCCCGAAACCCAAGGCGGAAUUUCACCCUUUCCCACUUGUAUAGCUGCAAACAAACGCCGUGCUUGGCCUGAACGCGUCAGCGCGUGGGUUGUAGGGCCACACAGAGCCCCCGUUUCGUUGUGCUGCAGCAGCAGCCUGCUGCACCCCACAGCAUAUCUGCAUUUUCCUAUGGCAGGAAGGUGCAGCAGUGGGGCCACUGUAGCAAAAUGCCUCCACACCCUGCUCCAUCCACAGCCAAAUACGAAACACCAAUCCAAGAGUUUUCUUCAAGCUAUAAAAAUAAAGCAAAGUUGUUCCCAGGGAACAGAGAAAAAGUCAAUUCCACAGUCCCUGCACAGUUAUAAGCGCUCUCCAUAAGACUGAAUGCUUUUUUCUGCCUCGGAACAGCCCUCUCUGAUCCAGCAGAGCAAAGUUUGUUGAUAUUCGGGGUUGCAAACCCAUGUGUUUACUCAGGCUUUUGUCUGUCAGCAGAGUUUGAAGAGGUCGCUUUGAGAGAUCAAUAUUUUUUCCUGGGGGUUUCUUCAGAGCUACCACAAUUUGUUAUUGCGUCUGUUUAGAGGCUUUAAUUUGUGGUUUUCAAGAUUGCAUAACUGAGCAGAGAGGUGGUGAGAGGCCCACAUGAAGAGUUCAAAAUAAAUUUGACAAUAUAGUAAAUAUCUGCUCAGUAAUUUUCCCUGGUCUGAAUGCCACAGAAUGCCAACAGAGCCAUUAGUCAGGCUGGGUAUGAAGGUGCCUUUAUGGGAUCAGGGCACAUGUUUCCAUCCAGAUGGUACAGAACUGGAUUCACCUCACACGUCACUGACACCAACAGAGGACGUCCCUCUGGGGGCUCCCACCCGGGUGCCCAUUUAUAGGUUGCUCUAAAAGGCGUUGCUUUGAACCAGAUAUGGAAAAAUUAAAAUGAGACUUUAAUUUUGCCCUUUGCUCAGAGUUCUCAUAGUAAUUUACAUCAAAAUGAACCGAGCCGCUCGCCUCCCAUAAGGCGGCCCAGGGGUUGAUUGUAUAUCAGUCCUGCAGACAUCAGCUGGGAGGUGUGGGGAUGCACACGGGGAUGCAUUCACUGCAGAUGGGAACUGUGGCCCCACAGGUCAUUGGGGGGCUGCAGGUGGAAGCCCAGCACUGACACCAUACAGAAAUGGGGUUCUCAGCAUAGACACUGCACGGCAUCCUCCAGCCAAGCAUCCCCGGCUCCGGGAGGAAGCACCUGUAAGCAUGGUGUCAGGGCACUGCGUGAAUGGGUGACGAGUUGGGGUUGGACUUGAUGAUCUUAGCAGUGUUUUCCAACCUUAAUGAUUCUAUGAUUCUACGACUGCAG